UCCCGUGUGGCUCAGUGGGUAGAGCAUGGCACUUAACAUGCCAGGGUUGUGGGUUCAAUUCCCACAGGGGAG
rnacentral:tRNA from 1 species